GGUUGACCUCGGAUUAGGUAGGAAUACCCGUGAA
rnacentral:rRNA from 1 species